CAGUUUGAUUCUGACUGAAAAAUUAACUUUUAGCCAACCAACAUACAUGUAAAGUACCCUAUCCCCGCAUUCUCCCCUAUCUAAAAGAUCCAAUACAUGUAUUGAGAAUAUCCUCAAUGCAACAGGGCGCCACAGUAGAUAACACUUUUCAAUUUGGGAAACCGAGAAAAGAGUAUGGUUUAAGGGCUGGCAAAAUUCGUGCCAGCUGCCGCGGUUAGACGAUAAGCCCAAGUUAAUAUAAUAUAAACUAAAUUAAUGAUAGUUUAAAUAAUAAUAAAAGUCUAAUUUUUAAUACUCGCGAGUCACAUCUAUCUAAUAAUAAUGAAAUCAUGAACUAAAACAUGGAUUAGAUACCCAUCUAUUCACGACUUAAACCAAAGUUGAAUAUUACGAACAAUAGUUUAAAAUUCAAAGAUUUUGGCGGUGUCUUAUAAAACCAGGGGAACCUGUCUCAUAACUCGAUAAUCCACGUAUAUGCAACCUUCUCUUGACUCCCAGCAUGUGUACUGCCGUUGUAAGCAUACCUCUAAAAGAACAAGUAUGCCGCUAUGAUUUACCCAACUCAUUUACAUCAGGUCAAAGUGCAGCCUAUAAGAAGGUGAUGAUGGGUUACAACCCCAAAAUAGACUAUCGACUAAGAAAUAAAAAAUCUUACGAAAGUGGACUUGGCCGUAAUCAAUUUACAAGUUAAAAAAAUGAAUAAAUACCUAAGACAUGCACACAUCGCCCGUCACUCUAUCCUAAAGGUUAGAUAAGUCGUAACAAAGUAGGUGUAAUGGAAAUUGCACCUGU
rnacentral:rRNA from 1 species